rnacentral:rRNA from 1 species
UAAGUGAAGAGUUUGAUCCUGGCUCAGAGUGAACGCUGGCGGUAGGCCUAACACAUGCAAGUCGAACGGCAGCACAA